rnacentral:rRNA from 1 species
GAUGAACGCUGGCGGCGUGCCUAAUACAUGCAAGUCGAGCGAACAGACGAGGAGCUUGCUCCUCUGACGUUAGCGGCGGACGGGUGAGUAAAACGUGGAUAACCUACCUAUAAGACUGGGAUAACUUCGGGAAACCGGAGCUAAUACCGGAUAAUAUAUUGAACCGCAUGGUUCAAUAGUGAAAGACGGUUUUGCGUUACUUAUAAGUGGAACCGCCCCGCAUUAGCAUGUUGGUAAGGUAACGGCUUACCAAGGCGACGAUGCGUAGCCGACCUGAGAGGGUGAUCGGCCACACUGGAACUGAGACACGGUCCAGACUCCUACGGGAGGCAGCAGUAGGGAAUCUUCCGCAAUGGGCGAAAGCCUGACGGAGCAACGCCGCGUGAGUGAUGAAGGUCUUCGGAUCGUAAAACUCUGUUAUUAGGGAAGAACAAAUGUGUAAGUAACUAUGCACGUCUUGACGGUACCUAAUCAGAAAGCCACGGCUAACUACGUG